rnacentral:rRNA from 1 species
GAGUUUGAUCGUGGCUCAGAUUGAACGCUGGCGGCAGGCCUAACACAUGCAAGUCGAGCGGAUGAAGGGAGCUUGCUCCUGGAUUCAGCGGCGGACGGGUGAGUAAUGCCUAGGAAUCUGCCUGGGUAGUGGGGGAUAACGUCCGGAAACGGGCGCUAAUACCGCAUACGUCCUGAGGGAGAAAGUGGGGGAUCUUCGGACCUCACGCUAUCAGAUGAGCCUAGGUCGGAUUAGCUAGUUGGUGGGGUAAAGGCCUACCAAGGCGACGAUCCGUAACUGGUCUGAGAGGAUGAUCAGUCACACUGGAACUGAGACACGGUCCAGACUCCUACGGGAGGCAGCAGUGGGGAAUAUUGGACAAUGGGCGAAAGCCUGAUCCAGCCAUGCCGCGUGUGUGAAGAAGGUCUUCGGAUUGUAAAGCACUUUAAGUUGGGAGGAAGGGCAGUAAGUUAAUACCUUGCUGUUUUGACGUUACCAACAGAAUAAGCACCGGCUAACUUCGUGCCAGCAGCCGCA